rnacentral:rRNA from 1 species
GACGAACGCUGGCGGCGUGCUUAACACAUGCAAGUCGAACGGAAAGGCCCUGCUUUUGUGGGGUGCUCGAGUGGCGAACGGGUGAGUAACACGUGAGUAACCUGCCCUUGACUUUGGGAUAACUUCAGGAAACUGGGGCUAAUACCGGAUAGGAGCUCCUGCUGCAUGGUGGGGGUUGGAAAGUUUCGGCGGUUGGGGAUGGACUCGCGGCUUAUCAGCUUGUUGGUGGGGUAGUGGCUUACCAAGGCUUUGACGGGUAGCCGGCCUGAGAGGGUGACCGGGCACAUUGGGACUGAGAUACGGCCCAGACUCCUACGGGAGGCAGCAGUGGGGAAUAUUGCACAAUGGGCGGAAGCCUGAUGCAGCAACGCCGCGUGCGGGAUGACGGCCUUCGGGUUGUAAACCGCUUUCGACUGUGACGAGGCGUGAGUGACGGUAAUGGGUAAAGAAGCACCGGCUAACUACGUG